GCGAAAUUCGAUUCAUCGGAUUCGACACAUUUCGAUUCCCACCACUAUCAAGCAAACUUUUGAGCUUGCCCUGUGUGGACACUGUACUCUGAGACAAUAUCACAAACAUAUAUCUUCACCUGAGUGCAUAACAUUAGAAACAAAAAAAGUUUUUUUCAUGACGACUCGAUACACUGCUAAACUAAUUCAAAAUUAUUUUCUUUCAGCUGUUUGGUGGAUUUAUCAGUUUUCUCUUCCCCAGAUUACCAGAUGGUCCACGGUCACAAGUUGCAAAGUGGCACGCAAUUUCUGGAAAAAUUAUCGUUUUGCUUGCAAUACUAACAGCAAUUAAUGGCGUCGCAACAUUUUACAGGUAUGUGCAUUAACACUGUUGCUCAAGUAUUUUGCACGAGUGUCAAAGUGGACGUUAUUAUUCUGAAC